GUUUGUAGGAGACAAGACAGAGCGACGACAAAACCCUACAAAAUCCACUCAAUCAUCCCCACCCUCAGCCAAAAGGGUUUCGCCGCGACUACGCAGAACGAGCUCACCGACGCGUACUAAUGUCGAGGAGACCUCACCGGCUCCGAUUGCCACAAUUGUGUGGAAUAGAUUACGGACAUCUGGGUCGCCUAUGCAACGACGCGGCUGCUCCGACGCGAGUCCAGUUCAGCGGGAGCUACCUGAGGUACGAGGUGGUCGGGUUCAAGCAGGUUGUGGCAACACAGCUACUAUACAAUGUGUACGGGGCCUGCAGGUGGUUGACGGCAGAGGGUUCGAGGUGAGGAGGGACGCGACGUUUGGGAUGGUGGAAAACGGCGUGCAGACCAGUGGGAACUUGUUCUACACCGGGAAGCUUGAUUUAAGCAAGUGCUCACAUGAUUAACUAAGUAUAGUGCAAGGCUUCAAGAAGGAAUUCGAGAAGGUAGUGAGUGUGGUUGGAGACUCUCCAUCUAGAGGAAUGUUUAUAGAUUCUUGCUUUGACCAUUGUCAAAUAGAAUCACAGGAAACAUGGUUUAAAAGUGACUCACCACAUCUUGCCAAUACAUCAAUUGCCAAGGCAGUAGGAUACUGGUUUUAUGGUCGAGGACCUUUCAAUGAAGUAGAUUGCAACUAUCCUUGCAACCCCACUUGUCAGAACCUUGUUUCUGAUCCAAAGGACCACCCUGGAAUAUAGAUUUGUUUCAUCAUUGCGAAACAGGGUAGACUAUUUUCCCUUUGAUUGCGAAGCUCAGCAUUGCAAAACACUCCUCCCCUGCAAUUGCGAAUUUGUAUUUGGGUGGAGGUGAAACUUCUUUGGUAGAACUGAAUUCUUCAACCUUUGGUGAAGCUUUGGGAAAUUGAAUCUUUGGUGAAGCUUCUUCGGUAUGCGUUUUGAGUUGCGUGAUUUAGUAUCUAUUAACUUGUGUAUUGUUUAAUUUUAAUUUGGUUUUAUCAUUGGGAUCAAUUGGUGUUGUGAUUGGAACAAAUGGUUCUUUGAAUCAUUGGGGUGAAGCAAAGGCUUUUAGAAUCAGUUACUCUUGCUAACUACAUGAAAUAUGAAUUGGCUAUUUGGAUUGAUUUUGUAAUAUGAUUGAGUGGUAUAAUGUAUUUUUGAAUGUGUAUUAUCAAUAA